ACGUAGGUGGCAAGCGUUGUCCGGAUUUACUGGGCGUAAAGGGUGCGUAGGCGGAUAUUUAAGUGGGAUGUGAAAUCCCUGGGCUUAACCCAGGAACUGCAUUCCAAACUGGAAGACUUGAGUGCAGGAGAGGAAAGUGGAAUUCCUAGUGUAGCGGUGAAAUGCGUAGAUAUUAGGAGGAAUACCAGUUGCGAAGGCGACUUUCUGGACUGUAACUGACGCUGAGGCAUGAAAGCGUGGGUAGCAAACA
rnacentral:rRNA from 1 species